CUUUUCCGCCGGAAAGAGAGUGGAUUUACUAGGAAGGUGGGACGUUGGAGGGGUGGCCGCAUGGAGUGAGUACUGUCUCUGGCCACCGAGCAGAGCCAGUGACAGCAGCGUCCUGGUAGGCAGGCAGGCGUAUCAGGUUUCAGAGGAUGCGGCUGGGAACGGGAGUAGAGGUGAGGGGUCGUUGCAUCUGUCGCGGUGUGUAUCUUUUGGGGGUUCAGCGCCACCAGCGACUUGGGCCUCAUUCAUCGCGCUUACAUUUCUCCACCUCAUUUGAAGAACGAGCUUCGUAGCCCACGGAGCUGAGGUUAGUAUAAAUGUGGAAGGGAGAAGUAUGCACUCACCAGACUAAAGUUUACAGUUUUCACAUAGGUUGUGCUGUUCUGUGUCCCAUAAGGGCCUGCGAGAACCCAGACAUUCUGAAUCGGUGACGCCUGCUGGAGGCAGCAACACCUGUUGCAUUAAUUUUAGAACACACACACACGGAGUUGGUAAUUCUUAAGCUUCCUGAAUCUGCUGGCGGUCAUUUGGUGUCAGAAGCAGAGCAAAGCCAUCUUGGUCAUCUCCCUCCUUUUAGCUUAAACCGAAGCAUGAUGGGGGAGAUAGGCCGAAAGUUAUACAGCUUGUUAAUAACAGAGCCGAGAGUGAAAGCGCGAUUUCUUCAUUUUUAGCCCGGAAUUAUUUGUUGUACACCAUACUGUUUCUUUGCAUUGCUAGACAAUUCGUCUUUUUUUACGAGGUUGACGGGGAGUUGCAAGGAGGAGUGAAAAGGGUGGUAAUGUACAUCUACAUACAGUAUAAAUCCAUGAAAGGCAAAAUCCGUGUGUGUUAGGAGUUAGAACUGUGUCAGUCAUCUACAUCUUCCAUAGUUUGUAGAUGGAGAUGAGUCUGUCACGUCGCUCUGUCAUUUCCCUUUUAGCAACAGAUGUGUAGUAACAAUAUGUGAAGAAGGAACUUUCAUUGCCUGUUACAUACAUUUACACAGAGCGGCCUGGGGUUCACUGAGCAAGCUAUGUGCUCACCCUAGAAAACUGAUUCUGUAGAGUGCACUGCAGUCAAACCUCAGCUGUUUUAAGUAAUCUUACAUUUGGUGCUUGUGUGGCUUAAGUGUCUUGUGCAUUAUUGCAGUCAUCUCUCUCAUGUUAUGAAAUGGAAAUGUGUUGUAGGAAAGUGGCAAGCCUGUGAAGAAAGUAAGUGAGCCUGAGGCCCAGAAAACCAUACAUUAGCAAAUACUGAAAAACUGUUCACAUCACAUAGGGGGUAUCUGAAGUACUGAGGAGCUCAUUUAACCGGAUGUUCAUUGUGGGGAAGCCAUGAAUAGCCUCCCUCUCCUGGGUUCAAGCGAUUUUCCUGCCUCAGCCUCCCGAGUAGCUGUGAUUACAGGUCCAUGCCACCAUGCUCGGCUAAUUUUUGUAUUUUUAGUAGAGACAGGGGUCUCACCAUGUUGGCCAGGCUGAUCUCGAACUCCUGACCUCAGGUGAUCCUCCCACCUUGGCCUCCCAAAGUGCUGGGAUUACAGGUGUGAGCCACCGUGCCUGGCUCCUAUAUAAACAAUUUUCAAACUUGUUGGUCUCAAGAGCCACUUAACAGUUAUUGAAGACUCCAAAGAGCUUUUGUUCAUAUGAAAAUAGUUUUGACUUCACUAACCCCCAGAAGGGCUUUCAGAAGCCCCCACAGAAACCAACUUUUAAGAACUACUUUAUGCAGAUGUUUCAAAGACAUUUUAGAUUAUGUAGAGGAAUGAUUGCUGUUGUGAUUGUGACAUAAGCAGAAGUAUCAACUUAAAAAUGCAACAACAAGCACAGUAGCUUGUAUUUCCAGUAGCUGUAUAAUUCCAGGCACAGAGAACACAAACAGAUGUCCAUUUUUAAUUCUUUUCUUGUUUUUUUUGAGACAGGACCUCACUGUCACCCAGGCUGGAGUGCAGUGGUGCAAUCACAGCUCACUGGCAGCCUCGACCUCCUGAGCUCAAGAGCUCCUCCACCUCAGCCUCCUGAGUAGCUGGGGCCACAGGUGUGUGCUACCACCCUGGCUAAUUAAAAAAAAAAAUGUUUUGUAGAGACAGUGUCUCUCUGUGUUGCUCAGACUGGUCUCAAACUCCUGAGCUCAAGCCAUCCUCCCACCUUGGCCUCCUGAAGUGUUGGAAUUACAGGCGUCAGCCACUGUGCCUGGCCUGUGAUAUUUUUCUAUGCUUGGAAAGUUUAUUAAUCAGCUAGGAUACUUCUCUACAAAAAUACACAUAUAUAACUUGAGAUUUAAACUUUUCUCAGCCAGCUGUGGUGGUUCACACCUGUAAUCUCAGCACUUUGGGAGGACAAGGUGGGUGGAUCACUUGCGCUCAGGAGUUUGAGACCAGCCUGGGGCAACAGGGCAAAACCCCAUCUCUACAAAACUGCACCCAGCUAUUUUGUAUUAUUUUUAUCUCGUUGCUUUUUUUUUUUUUCUUUUUCUUUCUUUCUUUUUUUUUUUUAGUGGUUUCAGGCAGUGGUUCAGACCAGCUGCUAGAGAAUCAUGGGCUAAGAAGAGAAGACUACCAAUUUAGUAGAUUUGGACAUGGACAAGCCACAGGCAGUUUCUCUUCUCACUCUCUUGGCCAGUCAUCUCUUGCUCACCUUCCCCUGCCAGUAGCCAGUAGCAUGUGACAGCCUCUAUAUUCCAUCUCCCUUUUCUCCCUCUUCCAGAACUAAGAUGAGUUUUCAAUGGAUAACUGUACAGAAACAUACCCACUGCUGAGUUUAUAAUAAAUAGGUAAAUGGUGUUUAAAAUGCCUUCUGUAGGAAUCCUUGGUAGAUAGUUAUAUGUGGUUGUUUUUUGGGAAGUUGGCUUGAGGUUCUUUGAAGGGCUGGGAACGUGUAUUUCUUUUGCGUGUGCCUGUGUGUGUCAAAAUUUUAUAUGUUCAUCAGUGCUCUACACGUUCAGAGAAACGUUUCCAAUAACGAACCAUAGAAUGAUCCCUGGAGCAUAGGAUCCCACUGUUUGAAAAUUCUAGCCAUCGAUCACUUUAUAAGAAAAGGAUGAAAUUUCAAACAAGGAGUUUGUUUAUCUGAUUUCCACCCUACAGAUAAUAUAUAAAUUUGGCCAAAGUUGUUUGGGGAAGAGGGGCUGUUGUUAGGUACUGAGCUAUAAUACUUUGUUGCUUUGUAUCACUUUUAAAAGUGACUUUUAAAGAUACUUGACAUUUGAAAAGGAAUCACCUUUGAUCUUUCUAAGUCCCUAAUUUGACAUUACCUUUAUAGCAUAUAAUUUAUUCCAUAAAGUCUUAGAUCCUGAAACUAGUGGAAAGCCAAAUACUCAUGUUGUGCUAUAAAUAUAGGAUUGACAGUUAAGCUUACUCAGUAGUCAAGGGGGCGGCUUUCACUCACCAGCCUCCAGGGCAUAUGAACCAAAUUUAUGAUUCAGAACAUUUAAAAUAUACAUUUUGAAGAUCUUUGGGCUCUCUUAAGUAUAGUCUAACUAUAAUAAAUAUUAAACAUGUCAAAGGUCUCUUGCAGUGUUGGGAAGAGCAUUCUAAACCACAUACAUCUUUCCCAUCCCCAGAUUGUUCUGUGUCCCCUCCCACUCUUCCCAGAUUAGAAGUCACCAUGGAGCACUAUUAGUAAUGGGACUCUGUAUCAGAUCUUUAAGGUGUAUUGGGACAGAAGAAAGGUUGAUAUUUUGGGGUUGUUUGUUUUUUUUGAGACGGAGUUUUCACUCUUGUUGCCCAGGCUGGAGUGCUAUGGCGUGAUCUUGGCUCACUACAAUCUCCGCCUCCCUGGUUCAAGCAAUUCUCCUGCCUCAGCCUCCUGAGUAGCUGGGAUUACAUGCGCCCACCACCAUGCCCGGCUAAUUUUUGUAUUUUUAGUAGAGACGGGGUUUCAUCAUGUUGGCUAGGCUGGUCUCGAACUCCUGACCUCAGGUGAUCUGCCUGUCUUGGCCUCCCAAAAUGUUGGGAUUACAGGUGUGAGCCACCAUGCCCAGCAGGUUCAUAUUUUUAAUGUUUCCUUCUACUCCCCAAGCACACACAAAUUUGAAAGCUGCUUUGCUUUCUAAUAAAGAGGCUUUUCCUUUGAUUUUGGAAGAUAAUUUGAUGUCUCUUUUCUCUUUGCAGGUAUAUGAGCUCCCUGAAAGCACAAAGCAGUUAUUUCCAUCUUCAGAUCAUUCAGAGAUUAUGAAGGCACAAACCCUGCCUUCAAUUUGCUUAUAGUCAAGUGGAGCAGACACAAGUCAAUGAUUGCAGUAUAGCCACUGAAGUAAUCUAAAAGAGGUGAGUGUGGCACUUAACCUCUCCUGGGAGGGGGAGGAAUAAGGCAGUGUUUCCAAGAGGUGAUUUUGGAGCUAUACAGGCAUUAGGUAGACAAGGAAGGGGAGGUCCAUUCUGGGUGCCUAGGACUCUGUGGCUGAUUUAUAAAUCGUAAAUGGUACAAAAAACAGUGUUGAGUAUCUUUUACCUUUCUCCAGAGUACUGUUCUUACUUUUGGAUAGUGCUUCUUGUUUUUUCCUUCCCUCUCCCUGUCCCUGUCACCUUUAAAUUAAAUGAAUGUUUGGAAGGAAGUAGGAGGGUAAGAAUCUUUCUGGGUGGCAGAAUAAUAGAUGGGUCUACCAAGAGCGAUGUAUAUACCCAGUAAAGCCAUCUCUAAAACUGUGUUUCUGCAUUGUUACAGUGCAUAGUUGGGAAAUCUCAGUUUUGUUGGCUGUGUACUUUCCCAGUGAAUGGAUUAUAUUCCUUUCUGCGAGCCAGUCUGUUUGAAUUUAAGGGCAUCUCUUAAAUUCCUUUCAAGCAAGAGACCUAACAUUUAUACUUAGGAAUGAGAGUAGUAGAGACAGCAAGAUUAGAAUCCAAGUUCAUAUACCAAAACAUUUUUAUUUGCUAUGUCUGAGUGACUACAUGUUGUUUGAAUCAACUGCAGGCUAAUUUGUAACAUUUCAAAUAAAUGAUAGUUUAAUUCCUCCAGGAUUUGAGUAAGGUGAAAAUAGAGCUAAAAACCAUGAUUCUGUCACAGUCUGGGAAAAUGAAAAAGCAAUCAAUUAGUGAGUUGGGCUUAAUUUUUUUUUUUUUUUUUUCUGGAACUGGUGAUAGCAGAAAACAAGCAGUAAAGUAGUCAGACAUGAUAUACUUGACAAGAACCACCACCUGUUCAGUAGCAACUCUAAAAUAAGUACUAACUUAGGGGCAGUUGUUGUGCCCAGGUCAUAGUCAUACUCCUUCCAGGAGACUUCCUGAUGACAGAAAAGAUGCUGACCAGCUGGGGUCUUCUUUCCAAAUAACUUUUCUCUUGCAUUUAGAUUAAUUAACCAUUGGUUACAGUGAAACAAGCAUAUGUACAGAGUUAAUCUCCUAUAGCUUGAAGUUAUACAUGAUCUUUAUUUGAGUAUCUUGACUUGUUAAAGGACAGUGUUUUAAAAGCUGGAUUUGGUUAUGUUCUUCUGGAGACUAAGAAAAUAGAGUCCUUGAAAUCAAGCUGACUCUGCUUUUAGCCUCCUAAAUGAAAAGGUAGAUAGAACAGGUCUUGUUUGCAAAAUAAAUUCAAGACCUACUUAUCUACCAACAGCAAUUACACGCUUUCCAUUGUCUUCCUAUAGAAAAUAGGAGUAGUACACUUAUAGAUGAGAAAACUGGAGAAAGACAUAGUGAACAUGUGAGAAUCUUGCUCUACUAAUUGAUAGGAAGGUGACUAGAAAUUGGCGAAGUUUUCUUGGUAAGUUGAGGAGAGGACUUUUCUUAUAGUGCAGUCUGGUAGCUGAACCGCCUUGCAUCAAGACCAAUGUAGUCUUAUUUACAGAAUGCCACAUCACAGUGAAUUGUGCUGUGGACAGCUUCCAGUGUGUGAGUUGUGGAAGAUGAUGAUUUUAACAGAUUUUGGAGGAUGAGAAGUAUUAAGAAGAAGGCCCCACUGUCCAUGCAUUUGCUCUGCUUUUUACUUUUGACCAAGUAUACACUUCAGAAAUAUCUUAUUGGAUGUAUACAAAGUGAUUGUGUGUCAUUUGAACCAGCAGGAAGUAAUUUAUUAAACACACUUUUCUAAAUAAAAGUCAUUUAAUUUUAUCAGAAAUCAGUGUCAUUUUAGAUUGCAAGUCUCAAACCAACUUUCCAAUUCUGACUUGUAAGGGUGCCUUAAAUCCUGAAUACUGUACUCUGUAUUACUAAACCCAUGUUAGUUUACGCCAAGAUUCUGUGGUGGUUUUACAUAUUCUUUUUCCCCUUUGUUAAGGUGGGGAGGCCACAGCUUAUGUGAAUGACUUUCUCAGGAGUUAUAAAGUGAUACAGGUAAAGCUAAGAAAAGAACAGAUUUUGAUAACUUUUGUUUUAACUGUCCAGUGUUAGGGAUUGUGGCUACAGUGGUCUAAUUUUUAAAAACUCUUUUUUUUGCUUUGUUUUUUAACAGACUUAUCAGCAGGUUGCAGGUGAACAUGGCCUUGAGGUAAAUCUGUCCCUUGCUGAAUACAGUUUCAGUAGAUUGUUUAUAGUAGUUUCAGGAAUUGAGAUUUUUUACAAAAAUACAAAAGUUUUGCUUGGUUCUGUUCUAGAUGUUUUCUUCUAAAUAAAUGAGAAAGAUGUUUCAACAAAGGCUCUUUAUGCUGAAUAAUUGUGAUGCUUGAAGUUGCUAAUCUGCUUUAAGUGGAUUUUAAAUGUCAGGCAAUUCUAGACAGUUUUUUCUUGGUCAAAUAAAAAUUUAAUUAAAACUUUAUACGUGUUGAGUUUUUAAUCCAUUUAUCCGUGUUCAUACUAACGUGUAGUAUUCCAUAAAGCCUAUUAGAACCCUGAAUUCAAACUUGCCUUCUCUGUGAUAUCCUGUUUCUUACUUGGUAGUUUCUAUUUCAGUAGCUGAGAACUUUUUUUUUUUUUUUUUUUGAGAUGGAGUCUUGAUCUGUGAGCCAUCUCGGCUCACUGCAAGCUCCACCUCCCGGGUUCACGCCAUUCUCCUGCCUCAGCCUCCCGAGUAGCUGGGACUACAGGCGCCCGCCACCAGUCCCGGCUAAUUUUUUUGUAUUUUUAGUAGAGACGGGGUUUCACCGUAUUAGCCAGGAUGGUCUCGAUCUCCUGACCUUGUGAUCCAUCCACCUUGGCCCCCCAAAGUGCUGGGAUUACAGGCGUGAGCCACCGCGCCCGGCCGAGAACAUUUUUAAAUAUACAUGAUAUGUAUCUUUUAAUUGUUUAUAACUGGAACUAUUUCUGUGCUUACAUCUGCUGUCCCUUGUUUCAGAGUAGACAGUCCAGCU
ensembl:lncRNA SNHG21 small nucleolar RNA host gene 21